ACUGACAACAAUCGGAAUGCCUGCUAACUCAGCAACCAUUGUCACAGAAGUUAAGUCCCCUUUAAAAUUGAAUUAUGCCGCAGGAAGUCACGUACGAGUCAACCUUUGUAUCGGAAUUUUUAGUUACCGACCAGAAGUCUUGCCUUGUUGGGCAAUGACUAGAGAAAUUGGUCUCAAUAUUCCGGAAAACAAUACAAGGAACCAGUAGUGGUGGCCGAUCAAAUGGAUCUAGCUCGAUCGUGACCCGUAUAAUAAUGCUGCCGCUGGAGUUAUAAAAAAAAAAAAUAAAAUAAAUAAUAUACACAUUUAAUUUGAAAGCAGAAGAAGAGAUCAUGCGUAAUGAUCUAGGAUGACGAAUGAAUUAUUGUUGAGAAAAGAGUAAUGAUUAAUCAUGUCAGGAUCUUAUUGUCCUUGUUCAAUCCAUGUAAGAUUAGACUGGGCACAGAUGACGUUUAGCAUCUGGGAUCUUGGAUCUAGGGUCUGGUACAAAGCAAAUCUCACGUUUCUUUAUAAACGAUUCAAAUGCCGCAUUAGUGUCAGGAGAAGUGAAAAAUUUAAUACUUCUUACAAGCUAAUUUAUGAUAUAAAUGUUCAAAGCUAAAAAAAUAUAUUCGCAACAGCUGGACUGCGAGAGGACCUGAAAGUUCUCAUGAUCAUUCAAGCUGGGUGAUGAUGAGUUGAUGACUGCGAUGAGCUCUCAGUAAUAAUUAUCUGAUAUCGAUGGACACCAUAUAUAUGUACAUAUUUAUCUAUCAUGAUAUGCACUUUAUACCCGGCAGAAAGUAAUGAAAAUAAUUUUUACAAAUAAUUGCAGAAGAAUCAGGGUCUGCCAGAGUGCAAGAUGCGACUUGAUUAAUUUACAAGAAAGUCGAUUGGAAAUCAAAUAUAACCGGUCGUUAUAUUAAUUUAUUCUGUAGAUAUAUAUAUACAAGUAGUGUGAAAUAUAUAAUUAAUAGAAAAAAAAAGAAGAUUGUUAAGAUUUCCGCUGGAAGAUUCAUUUUUAACUUCGCGAUGCGAUGAAAAGUUAUAUAUUGCAACAAAAAAAAUGUUGAUAGAGAUUUCCUGCGAUAAAUAAAUUUUUUCUAUAAUAAAUUAGAGUUUGAUGCGAACUAGAAAUUACAAGUUAAUUAUAUAUUGUAAUUAUAAAUUAUUCAGAUGUCAUCAAGUUACGGGGAAUUGAUGGAUUAAAAAAGUAAUUAUAGAUCGAGAUCGCACAAUUAUAGUCGAGUGCGAUUCACACGUGUUUAAAUAAACGUUAUAGCUGAAAUAUUCUCGUGCCUAUGAAGAUGAUCUUUAGUAACAGCCUUAGACUAUUGAGAAAGUCUUGUGUAUUAACGGAACAUGGCAUCGUUUUCACUGGCUAGUUGGACCAAUCAUUACGUCCAUUAUUUUAUUUAUUCAGACUUUGAUACGCGUAUGUGCGUAUGACAAAGAAUCAGCAACCGAUCGGUGGUGAAAUUUCUAAUUUAAUUUACAUAGUAAAUAAGUAUGAAUAAAAAUAUAAAAGAUGGUAAUAUUUUUCUUAUCUUUAUGUAAGUUUUGAUGUCAACUUUGAUGGAUUAACGGUAAAAUAAACUCUUAGAUUUUAAUACGGAAGAAAUUGUUGG